UCCGCAGGCGGGCAAUUAAGUCAGGGGUGAAAUGGUGCGGCUCAACCGUAGUACUGCCCUUGAUACUGGUUGUCUUGAGUCAUAGUGAAGUGGCCGGAAUAUGUAGUGUAGCGGUGAAAUGCAUAGAUAUUACAUAGAACACCGAUUGCGAAGGCAGGUCACUAACUAUGUACUGACGCUGAUGGACGAAAGCGUGGGGAGCGAACAGGAUUAGAUACCCUGGUAGUC
rnacentral:rRNA from 1 species